CAGUGUGGUUGAUCAUCAGCAUAACUCUACACUUUUCGCUUCGCAUGCUGCCAUUUUAGUUACUUAACAAUUUUUUGUUCAUUUGAUUGGAAUUCUUGGAUUUCAUAUUGACUAUCUUGUGCUCAAACGAUUGGUCUUCAAAAGUUUCACAGGGCUAUAAGAACUCUUUUUCAAUGUCUCUUUCUGCGUUGUCUUCUUUAUUUGUAGAUGUUUGAAGAAAUCAAUCACAUGUUUACUUAGCUAAAGAUGAUAGUAGCUUGAUUGUAAACAUCCUCUUUUUUUUAUUGAGUGUUAAUAUCCUGCUAGACUACAAGAUAGACAGCUAGAUUAUUCCUAAAUGUUUGUGGUGUGCAUACAUGCAACAUUAUUGAUUGUAAACAUCCUCUUGCUUCUAAAUGUUUGUGGUGUGCAUACAUGCAACAUCCGAUUUUGUGUGUGUUGAUUAGAUCCUUGGAUUUGGGGUAGGUUUCAAAUCGAUUGAGUUUGUUCUAUUCAUCUGUCAUCUCUGUGACAGAGAAAUCGAUUCCUAUGGUUGAUGAUAUUUGAUUUGCUGUUUAAUAUUGACAGAGAAAGCUUGUUGAUUGUGAUGGUGUGAUGAGCUCACAAUGGAGGAUAAACUCUCUAUUGUACAAGAGCAGAGAGCUAAGAAUGCUGAGCUAAAGGCUAAAUCUCGGGCUCUCAAGUUGAAGAAGUGAAGCAGCAAAAGAUGUUGGAGUCAUUGUGCCCAUUGCUCCAGCUUCUGCAGAUGAUGAAGAUGGCCCUCCUGAGUAGAUCUCUAAUGAAGAAGCAGUUGCCAAGCAUCUGAAGCUGGAGAUGUCAAUUGCAGCCUCUGCCUCUGCCCGUGUCAACCCCUUUAGUGAAUCUACUCAGUAUUUCGACUGGCUUAACUUGGAGAAGACUUAUCGUGAACUGAGCCCUGCGGAGCAACAAUACUUUGUCACUGCUUCUCUCGCUGGCCACUUUGAAUAAAGGAGAAACCUUAAUAACUGAGCUUUGCGCCAAUAGUAUCUGGUUUCUAUAUGGCGGUGCAAAAUAAAUUUUUUUAAUUCUUCGUAACUACAAAACGCUACUUUGAUAUGACUUGAAUAAUGUCUGGAUUCUACUUCUUGCACAAUCUGA